rnacentral:rRNA from 1 species
GACGAACGCUGGCGGCGUGCCUAACACAUGCAAGUCGAACGGAGCUAUUGACUUCGGUUGAUAGCUUAGUGGCGAACGGGUGAGUAACGCGUGAGCAACCUGUCUUUCAGAGGGGGAUAACAACGAGAAAUCGUUGCUAAUACCGCAUAAGACCACACUGUCGCAUGGCAGAGGGGUAAAAGGAGCAAUCCGCUGAUUGAGGGGCUCGCGUCCCAUUAGAUAGUAGGUGAGGUAACGGCUCACCUAGUCUGCGAUGGGUAGCCGAGCUGAGAGGCUGAACGGCCACACUGGAACUGAGACACGAUCCAGACUCCUACGGGAGGCAGCAGUGGGGAAUAUUGGGCAAUGGGCGAAAGCCUGACCCAGCAACGCCGCGUGAGGGAAGAGGGUCUUCGGAUUGUAAACCUCUGUUCUUGGUGACGAAAAGAUGACGGUAGCCAAGGAGAAAGCCCCGGCUAACUACGUGCCAGCCGCCGCGGUAAACCAGACAGCGUA